rnacentral:rRNA from 1 species
GAUGAACGCUGGCGGCGUGCUUAACACAUGCAAGUCGAACGGAAAGGCCGAAGCUUGCUUCGGUACUCGAGUGGCGAAAGGGUGAGUAACACGUGGGUGAUCUGCCCUGUACUUCGGGAUAAGCUUGGGAAACUGGGUCUAAUACCGGAUAUGACGAUCUCUUGGAUGGGGUUGUGGAAAGCUUUUGCGGUAUGGGAUGAGCUCGCGGCCUAUCAGCUUGUUGGUGGGGUAAUGGCCUACCAAGGCGUCGACGGGUAGCCGGCCUGAGAGGGUGUACGGCCACAUUGGGACUGAGAUACGGCCCAGACUCCUACGGGAGGCAGCAGUGGGGAAUAUUGCACAAUGGGCGCAAGCCUGAUGCAGCGACGCCGCGUGGGGGAUGACGGCCUUCGGGUUGUAAACUCCUGUCGCAAUCGACGAAGCCUUUUGGUGACGGUAGGUUGAGAAGAAGCACCGGCUAACUACGUG